rnacentral:rRNA from 1 species
UACGUAGGGGGCAAGCGUUGUCCGGAUUCAUUGGGCGUAAAGAGCGUGUAGGCGGCCAGGUAGGUCGGUUGUGAAAACUGGAGGCUCAACCUUCAGAGGUCGACCGAAACCAUCUGGCUAGAGUCCGGGAGAGGAGAGUGGAAUUCCUGGUGUAAGCGGUGAAAUGCGCAGAUAUCAGGAAGAACACCCGUGGCGAAAGCGGCUCUCUGGAACGGUACUGGACGCUGAGACG